AUGUAGUGUGACAUGCCCGUUGGGUUUUACUCUGAUGUUGAAUUAAUUAUUAUUUAAUUACUUUUGGGUAAUGGGGUGUUACACUUAA
rnacentral:pre_miRNA from 1 species